UACGUAGGUGACAAGCGUUGUCCGGAUUUACUGGGCGUAAAGAGCGCGCAGGCGGUCGUUCAAGUCGAGUGUGAAAGCCCCCGGCUCAACUGGGGAGGGUCAUUCGAUACUGAUCGACUCGAAGGCAGGAGAGGGAAGUGGAAUUCCCGGUGUAGUGGUGAAAUGCGUAGAUAUCGGGAGGAACACCAGUGGCGAAGGCGGCACGCUGGGCCGGCCCUGACGCUGAGGCGCGAAAGCGUGGGGAGCGAACGGG
rnacentral:rRNA from 1 species